UACGGAGGGUGCAAGCGUUGCCCGGAAUUAUUAGGCGUAAAGCGCGCGUAGGCGGCCCGGUACGUCCGCUCUGAAAGUCCAGGGCUCAACCCUGGAAUGCGGGUGGAUACUGCCGGGCUAGAGUCCGGAAGAGGCGAGUGGAAUUCCUGGUGUAGCGGUGGAAUGCGCAGAUAUCAGGAGGAACACCAAUAGCGAAGGCAGCUCGCUGGGACGGGACUGACGCUAAGGCGCGAAAGCGUGGGGAGCGAACAGG
rnacentral:rRNA from 1 species